rnacentral:rRNA from 1 species
GAUGAACGCUAGCGGCAGGCUUAACACAUGCAAGUCGAGGGGCAACACGGGUAGCAAUACCUGGUGGCGACCGGCGCAAGGGUGCGUAACGCGUGAGCAACAUGCCCUAUACAGGGGGAUAAUCCAGGGAAACUUGGUCUAAUAUCCCAUAGUAUUUAGAGGUGGCAUCACCACUAAAUUAAAGCUUCGGUGGUAUAGGAUUGGCUCGCGUGACAUUAGCUGGAUGGUGGGGUAACGGCUCACCAUGGCGAUGAUGUCUAGGGGUUCUGAGAGGAAGACCCCCCACACUGGGACUGAGACACGGCCCAGACUCCUACGGGAGCAGCAGUGAGGAAUAUUGGACAAUGGAUGGAAAUCUGAUCCAGCCAUGCCGCGUGCAGGAAGACGGCCCUAUGGGUUGUAAACUGCUUUUAUAUGGGACAAUAAGGUUUACCGUAGACCGAUGAGAGUACCAUAUGAAUAAGCAUCGGCUAACUCCG